GAUGAAGAACGCAGCGAAAUGCGAUACUUGGUGUGAAUUGCAGAAUCCCGUGAACCAUCGAGUCUUUGAACGCAAGUUGCGCCCGAAGCCAUUAGGCCGAGGGCACGCCUGCCUGGGCGUCACACGUCGUUGCCCCCCCAUCUACUCCUUCGGGAUUGCGGGGGGCGGAUGAUGGCCUCCCGUGCGCCUCGCCGCGCGGUUGGCAUAAAUGCCAAGUCCUCGGCGACGCACGCCACGACAAUCGGUGGUUGCGAAACCUCGGUUGCCCGUCGUGUGCGGUCGUCGCGCAUCGAGGGCUCGAAAAAAUUGCCGGGUUCCGGCUCGGCUUUCAACGCGACCCCAGGUCAGGCGGGGUUACCCGCUGAAUUUAAGCAUAUCAAUAAGCGGGGA
rnacentral:misc_RNA from 1 species